rnacentral:rRNA from 1 species
AGUGAACGCUGGCGGUAGGCCUAACACAUGCAAGUCGAACGGCAGCACAGUAAGAGCUUGCUCUUACGGGUGGCGAGUGGCGGACGGGUGAGGAAUACAUCGGAAUCUACUUUUUCGUGGGGGAUACGUAGGGAAACUUACGCUAAUACCGCAUACGACCUACGGGUGAAAGCAGGGGAUCUUCGGACCUUGCGCGAUUGAAUGAGCCGAUGUCGGAUUAGCUAGUUGGCGGGGUAAAGGCCCACCAAGGCGACGAUCCGUAGCUGAUCUGAGAGGAUGAUCAGCCACACUGGAACUGAGACACGGUCCAGACUCCUACGGGAGGCAGCAGUGGGGAAUAUUGGACAAUGGGCGCAAGCCUGAUCCAGCCAUACCGCGUGGGUGAAGAAGGCCUUCGGGUUGUAAAGCCCUUUUGUUGGGAAAGAAAAGCAGCAGGUUAAUACCCCGCUGUUCUGACGGUACCCAAAGAAUAAGCACCGGCUAACUUCGUG